UGGUCCGGAACGUUGGCGCGCCUCUCUCUGACUCUUAUGAGAUCUCUAGCUCCACAGCUUUCGGCAGGGAGAGCCACGAUGGAUGGAAGCUUGGGGCUGAUAGUUGAGAAACCAGCCAUUCUGAAAGAAUAGUGCGAGACGGGCAACAGGCCACCUGAAGACCAGACUGCCUAAAAGAAAACUGCCGAAAUGGCCACCCUAGCCGGGGGGCAGAUGGAAAUACGUGGGUCUGAGACUCCGCACCGAGCCCUCUUUCCCAUAAGCAUCCGUAACUGUCACGAUAGAACGUGGAGCCUCCCUGGCCUCAUCCCAUCUCUCGGAUCAUCGCCGAGCUCCCUGCUGACAGAGGAGGACAACCUGAAAGAUUGGGGUGGAUCGAGGUGGAGAGAAAGCCCCAGUCACAGAGAUUGCCAGCCAAGUGCUUAGUACAGGGCUCUGAGUUUUCUGAAAGAAAGAUGCAGUAUAAAACCAA